rnacentral:rRNA from 1 species
UACAGAGGUCUCAAGCGUUGUUCGGAUUCAUUGGGCGUAAAGGGUGCGUAGGCGGCGCGGUAAGUCGGGUGUGAAAUCUCGGAGCUUAACUUCGAAACUGCAUUCGAUACUGCCGUGCUUGAGGACUGGAGAGGAGACUGGAAUUUACGGUGGAGCAGUGAAAUGCGUAGAUAUUGUGAGGAACACUAGUGGCGAAGGCGAAUCUCUGGACAGUUCCUGACGCUGAGGCACGAAGGCCAGGGGAGCAAACGGG